rnacentral:rRNA from 1 species
GGCGAAUGAAUAAAGAAGUUUUCAUUUUGAAAAUUGUGGUCUGUGAUCAUGAAUUGUAAUUUCAAAAUGCAUUGCUAACAAAAAUGCAAAUGGUGGUUUAUUGGAAAGAACAUGACAAAGGGUGAAAAUCCCAUGUGUCAUUUGUAUUUUUUGUGUACGGUGUGCAUUUAUUGAAUCACAUUCUUUGACAAUGGAAUGUAAAUUGGGUGGUAAAUUUCAUCUAAAGUUGAAUAUGUUGUUGAAACUUAUAGAAAACAAUUACCAUGAGGGAAAUAUGAAAAGGAUUUUGAAAAGAAAAUUAAAAGAGUUUGCAAUUGCUAAAUUGAUAAGCAAACAAAACAUAUCUGUGCGCAAGAUUGUUGUAAUCAUUUGUGUCAAACACAUGUGUUACAAUGGUUUUUGUGUAUUUUGCCAAUAUCCAAAUUUGGAAUGAUCACCCUUGGGUAUGAUUGGAAUUUGGUUUGCUAGCCAAGGAAUGUAUCUUGAAAAUCAUUGUUUGAUACUUUGUUUUUGACACAUGCAUUUCGCUUGAACAGCACCGUUGGAGCAACGCAAUUUUGUUUAAUUCACAUGGGCAUUAAUGUUU